UCUUCUUCAGUUGAUUGAUGGUUGUUGUUGUUGCGUUCUGAAGGUUGCUACUCAGUUUGCUGUGUAAGCACUGGUUCGUUAAGAACUGAGUAGCUGAGCAAUCUUUUCAAUAUCUCAUAUCGUAGAGUUGAGCCUUAGAGAAUUCUUCACGUUGAAUGUUUGAUUGCUUGCUUGUUUUUCUCUUUCAUCUGUCUGAUCUGUAUAUAUGUGAUGUUGAAAACUAUCCGUUGGAUCCAUCCGUUGUGGCAUUAAAUGCUUCUGAACUUUUUG
rnacentral:lncRNA from 1 species